UUCACUGAAGACUGCAGCAGCCUCCUGGCUGGUCUCCCUGCCUCCUCCUCGGAUUCCUUCACUCAGCAGCUAGAGCAACGCUUCAUCUGUGGCCCCUGCUAAAACACCUCCAGUGGCUCCCUGUCACUCUCAGGGCUCAGGCCCCAUCAUCAGCAUGGCUGGCAGGCACCACAGGACUGGCCAGUGAACCCCUCCUUCCUCAUUUCUCACCGCCCUCCCUGUUCCCUGAUUCCCUGCAACACACACAUUCUAUACUGAGCCAAGCAAAAGGCCUGCUGGCACCUCUGGCCUGACCGUACCCAGAGACUGGAUCACAUGCUCCUGCUCCAUGCCUGCCUCCCCAGCGGAAUGGAAGCAAUUCCUCCUUGGACCCUAUGAUAGGCUGCAGAGGGGCACGGCUCAGUGAGCAUUUGUUGAGUGCCUGACUGACUACCCUGCUGAAUGAAUAAGUGAAUGAAUGAAUGACCACACCUGUCUGGAAAGCUCCUGAGGGCAAAGCCUGGGCCUCAUCCUCUUGUGGAUCCAGGAGAGCAGUCGCUGAAGAGAAAGAGGAAGAAAAGGAGUGGCUAGAAAAGAAAGUUUAUUUCCACUGCAGGAAGCACUGCCUCCCAUCUGAGAAAUGUCCCAAGCAGGAAUCAGGAGGACAAAGCCAUGAAGGAAAAGCCUCACUGAAGAAGAGGAACCUAAGAGAAGCAGGUUCUGCUCUGAUGAACUCCCAUAAAGGCAUUCCCAUAAAGGUGUGGGCCUGAGUGAUAAUCUAGAUAUGGUACAGUUGACAUCAGGUAUAUGGCGGCAGCCAGAAAUUCAACUUUGUCCAUCAGCUCUCUGCACAACAGGAAAGAUGGUGACCUUCCAGGCUUAUCUGAGGUCCAAGAGUAACAUCACAAACACAGUAACUACACCCAGCCAAAGAAAAGCAUACCUGAAUCCAAGAGAGUAUUUACACUGGCUUCAGGGAUGAGGAAAUAAAGGAGUAAGUGAUUAGGAUCAUUGUUUUCCUUUCUCUUUGGUACAAAAUAAAUGAGCUUCCUUUCUUU
rnacentral:lncRNA from 10 species